UAGAUGCGAGAGUAGAGCAUAUCAAUAAGCGGAGGAAAAGAAACUAACAAGGAUUCCCUUAGUAACGGCGAGUGAAGCGGGAAGAGCUCAAAUUUGAAAUCUUCAAGGUUCUACCUUGACGAAUUGUAGUUUAUAGAAGUGUUUUCUGUUAGUGGAGUGGCAAAAGUUCUUUGGAAUAGGACAUCAUAGAGGGUGAGAAUCCCGUAUUUGGUCAUUCCUCCUAGCGUUGUGAUACACUUUCAACGAGUCGGAUUGUUUGGGAAUGCAGUCCAAAAUGGGUGGUAAAUUUCAUCUAAAGCUAAAUAUUGGCGAGAGACCGAUAGCGAACAAGUACCGUGAGGGAAAGAUGAAAAGAACUUUGAAAAGAGAGUUAAACAGUACGUGAAAUUGUCAAAAGGGAAGCGUUUGACACCAGUGUUGUUUUUCCGAAAAUCAAUUACGAAUGUUUUAUUUUUGAGGAGUUAUGACUUCAUCGGCUUGCUCCUUUCUUUAUGAACUUUUCUUAAUGCACUUUUCGGUUAACAAGUCAACAUCAAUUUCUUUUGUUGUAAAAGGGUAUGAGGAAGGUGGCUUUCUUUUCGGAGAAAGUGUUUAUAGCCUUGUGCCUCUGCAAUCGGAGAGAUUGAGGUCUGCAGCGUAGAUCCUUCGGGGUUAGAUACAUUUGUGCUAAGUUAUAGCUUUUCAUAGACAACUUGUUGACUAUGUUUAGUCUUGUAGCUUACUCGCUUACGCUAUUUUACCUACGCUUAGGAUGUUGACGAGACUGUCGAUCUC
rnacentral:rRNA from 1 species